rnacentral:rRNA from 1 species
ACCCCACUGCUAUCGGGAUAGGACUAAGACAUGCUAGUCGUGCGCUUCCUAGCCAAUUUGGGAGCGCGGCACACAGCUCAGUAACACGUGGCUAACCUGCCCUUGGGACGAGAACACCCCCGGGAAACUGGGGCUAAUUCUCGAUAGGUGAAGAACUCUGGAAUGAGUCUUCGCUUAAAAGAUACUGGGGUUAUGCUCUCCAGCUUCGCCCAAGGAUGGGGCCGCGACCGAUCAGGUUGUUGGUGAGGUAAUGGCUCACCAAGCCUUUUACCGGUGCGGGCCGUGAGAGCGGGAGCCCGGAGAUGGGCACUGAGACAAGGGCCCAGGCCCUACGGGGCGCAGCAGUCGCGAAAACUUUGCAAUAAGCGAAAGCUUGACAGGGCUAUCCCGAGUGCCAUCCGCUGAGGAAGGCUUUUACCCAGUCUAGAACGCUGGGGGAAUAAGGAGAGGGCAAGUCUGGUGUCAGCCGCCGCGGUAAUACCAGCUCUCCGAGUGGUGUGGAUGUUUAUUGGGCCUAAAGCAUCCGUAGCUGGCUAAGUUAGUCCCUUGUUAAAUCCACCGAAUUAAUCGUUGGAUCGCGGGGGAUACUGCUUGGCUAUGGGACGAGAGAGGCAGACUGUAUUUCUGGGGUAGGGGUGAGAUCCUAUAAUCCCGGGAAGACCACCAGUGGCGAAGGCUGUCUGCUAGAACGCGCCCGACGGUGAGGGAUGAAAGCUGGGUGGAGCGAACCAGAUUACAUACCCCGGGUAGUCCCCACUGUAAACGAUGCCGGCUAGGUGUUUGGGACGGCCUCAUGACUGUCUAGUGCAGCAAGGAAUCU